GACGAACGCUGGCGGCGUGCCUAAUACAUGCAAGUCGAACGCUUUUUCUUUCACCGGAGCUUGCUCCAUCGAAAGAAAAAGAGUGGCGAACGGGUGAGUAACACGUGGGAAACCUGCCCAUCAGAAGGGGAUAACACUUGGAAACAGGUGCUAAUACCGUAUAACACUAUUUUCCGCAUGGAAGAAAGUUGAAAGGCGCUUUUGCGUCACUGAUGGAUGGACCCGCGGUGCAUUAGCUAGUUGGUGAGGUAACGGCUCACCAAGGCAACGAUGCAUAGCCGACCUGAGAGGGUGAUCGGCCACACUGGGACUGAGACACGGCCCAGACUCCUACGGGAGGCAGCAGUAGGGAAUCUUCGGCAAUGGACGAAAGUCUGACCGAGCAACGCCGCGUGAGUGAAGAAGGUUUUCGGAUCGUAAAACUCUGUUGUUAGAGAAGAACAAGGAUGAGAGUAAAAUGUUCAUCCCUUGACGGUAUCUAACCAGAAAGCCACGGCUAACUACGUGCCAGCAGCCGCCGUAA
rnacentral:rRNA from 1 species